rnacentral:rRNA from 1 species
UACGGAGGGUGCUAGCGUUAUCCGGAUUCACUGGGUUUAAAGGGUGCGUAGGUGGGUUGGUAAGUCAGUGGUGAAAUCUCUAGGCUUAACCUGGAAACUGCCAUUGAUACUAUCAGUCUUGAAUAUUGUGGAGGUCAGCGGAAUAUGUCAUGUAGCGGUGAAAUGCUUAGAUAUGACAUAGAACACCAAUUGCGAAGGCAGCUGACUACGCAUAUAUUGACACUGCGGCACGAAAGCGUGGGGAUCAAACAGU